UGCUGGAUCAGUGGUUCGAGUCUGAGCCUUUAAAAGCCACUCUAGCCACAGAUGCAGUGAU
rnacentral:pre_miRNA from 1 species